rnacentral:rRNA from 1 species
GACGAACGCUGGCGGCGUGCUUAACACAUGCAAGUCGAACGGAAAGGCCCUGCUUGCAGGGUACUCGAGUGGCGAACGGGUGAGUAACAAGUGGGUGAUCUGCCCUGCACUUCGGGAUAAGCAUGGGAAACUGGGUCUAAUACAGGAUAGGAGACAUUUUUAGUGUGAUGGUUGGAAAGUUUUUUCGGUGUAGGAUGAGCUCGCGGCCUAUCAGCUUGUUGGUGGGGUAAUGGCCUACCAAGGCGGCGACGGGUAGCCGGCCUGAGAGGGUGGACGGCGACACAGGGUCCUAGGGGCGGCCCAGACACCUACGGGAGGGAGAAGGGGGGAAUAUUGCACAAGCGGCGCAGGCCUGAUGCAGCGACGCCGCGUGGGGGAUAACGGCCUUCGUGGUGAAAACUCCUUUCGCAAGUGACUAAGCUUGUUUUGACGGUACCUAGAUAAGAAGCACCGGCUAACUACGUG